GCAGCCGUGGCCCAGUGGUUAAGGCGAUGGACUAGAAAUCCAUUGAGGUCUCCCCGCACAGGUUCAAAUCCAGUUCAUUGCG
rfam:Ixodes scapularis strain Wikel colony gcontig_1107729074060, whole genome shotgun sequence.